UUCCUACGGGGGGCAGCAGUGGGGAAUAUUGCACAAUGGGGGGAACCCUGAUGCAGCGACGCCGCGUGAGUGAAGAAGUAUUUCGGUAUGUAAAGCUCUGUCAGCAGGGAAGAAGAAAGACGGUACCUGACCAAGAAGCCCCGGCUAACUACGUGCCAGCAGCCGCGGUAAUACGUAGGGGGCAAGCGUUAUCCGGAUUUACUGGGUGUAAAGGGGGCGCAGACGGCAGCGCAAGCCAGGAGUGAAAGCCCGGGGCCCAACCCCGGGACUGCUCUUGGAACUGCGCGGCUGGAGUGCAGGAGGGG
rnacentral:rRNA from 1 species